GAUGAACGCUAGCUACAGGCUUAACACAUGCAAGUCGAGGGGAAACGAUGAGAGAGCUUGCUCUCUUAGGCGUCGACCGGCGCACGGGUGAGUAACGCGUAUCCAACCUACCCAUUACAGGGGGAUAACCUUGCGAAAGUAAGACUAAUACCCCAUGGCAUUUUAUGGUGGCAUCAUUAUAGGAUUAAAGAUUUAUUGGUAAUGGAUGGGGAUGCGUCUGAUUAGCUUGUUGGCGGGGUAACGGCCCACCAAGGCAACGAUCAGUAGGUGUUCUGAGAGGAAGGUCCCCCACAUUGGAACUGAGACACGGUCCAAACGCCUACGGGAGGCAGCAGUGAGGAAUAUUGGUCAAUGGGCGAGAGCUUGAACCAGCCAAGUAGCGUGCAGGAGGACGGCCCUAUGGGUUGUAAACUGCUUUUAUAGGGGAAUAAAGUGAGAUACGUGUAGUUUAUUGAAUGUACCCUAUGAAUAAGGACCGGCUAAUUCCGUG
rnacentral:rRNA from 1 species